GACGGGGGGGGCAAGUGUUCUUCGGAAUGACUGGGCGUCAAGGGCACGUAGGCGGUGAAUCGGGUUGAAAGUGAAAGUCGCCAAAAAGUGGCGGAAUGCUCUCGAAACCAAUUCACUUGAGUGGGACAGAGGAGAGUGGAAUCUCGUGUGUAGGGGUGAAAUCCGUAGAUCUACGAAGGAAGGCCAAAAGCGAAGGCAGCUCUCUGGGUCCCUACCGACGCUGGGGUGCGAAAGCAUGGGGAGCGAACAGG
rnacentral:rRNA from 1 species